rnacentral:lncRNA from 1 species
UAUUUUCUCUAUAGAGGCUUGUAAACAUUUGGAAGACACAAGUUUUUUUUUUUUUUGGACAACAGAACUAAGAUUGGCUCAAAAAAGCCACAUUAAAAGAUUGGAAGACAAAAUUUUGAUGAAGAAAAAUAUGAGAUUGUUCGUCUAGUUUUUUCACAUUAAUAAUUAGCACUAUUUUCUAAAUAUUAUUCUCCAAACUAAUAAAAAAAAUGUUGUUUGGAGGAAAAAAUGUUGCACUCAAUAGGAAACU